GAUGAACGCUGGCGGCGUGCCUAAUACAUGCAAGUCGAGCGAAGCGGGGACGGGUGAGUAAGACGUGGAUAACCGACUUUCAGACUGGGAUAGCUUCAGGAAAGCGGAGCUAGACCGGAUAUUUGUAGAUGGAUUCGCGCUGCAUUAGCUAGUUGGUAAGGUAACGGCUUACCAAGGCAACGAUGCAUAGCCGACCUGAGAGGGUGAUCGGCCACACUGGAACUGAGACACGGUCCAGACUCCUACGGGAGGCAGCAGUAGGGAAUCUUGCGCAAUGGGCGAAAGCCUGACGGAGCAACGCCGCGUGAGUGAUGAAGGUCUUCGGAUCGUAAAAUUCUGUCAUCAGGGAAGCGGUACCCACUCAGAAAGCAACGGCUAACUCCGUGCCAGCAGCCGCGGUAAUUC
rnacentral:rRNA from 1 species